GCCGAAGUGGUGGAAUUGGUAGACACGCUAGGUUCAGGGUCUAGUGUCCGCAGGGACGUGGGAGUUCGAGUCUCCCCUUCGGCA
rnacentral:tRNA from 1 species